UACGUAGGGUGCGAGCGUUAAUCGGAAUUACUGGGCGUAAAGCGUGCGCAGGCGGUUUUGUAAGACAGAUGUGAAAUCCCCGGGCUCAACCUGGGAACUGCGUUUGUGACUGCAAGACUCGAGUGUGGCAGAGGGGGGUGGAAUUCCACGUGUAGCAGUGAAAUGCGUAGAGAUGUGGAGGAACACCGAUGGCGAAGGCAGCCCCCUGGGUCAACACUGACGCUCAUGCACGAAAGCGUGGGUAGCAAACAGG
rnacentral:rRNA from 1 species